rnacentral:rRNA from 1 species
UGGGCGGGUUCUAAGUAUAAGCAAUUAUACCGCGAAACUGCGAAUGGCUCAUUAUAUAAGUUAUCGUUUAUUUGAUAAUACUUUACUACUUGGAUAACCGUGGUAAUUCUAGAGCUAAUACAUGCUGAAAAUCCCGACUUCGGAAGGGAUGUAUUUAUUAGAUUAAAAACCAAUGCCCCUCGGGGCUCUCUGGUGAAUCAUGAUAACUAGUCGAAUCGACAGSCCUUGUGCMGGCGAUGGCUCAWUCAAAUUUCUUCCCUAUCAACUUUCGAUGUUUGGGUAUUGGCCAAACAUGGUGGCAACGGGUAACGRAGGGUWAGGGCUCGACCCCGGAGAAGGAGCCUGAGAAACGGCUACUACAUCCAAGGAAGGCAGCAGGCGCGCAAAUUACCCAAUCCCGACACGGGGAGGUAGUGACAAUAAAUACUGAUACAGGGCUCUUUUGGGUCUUGUAAUCGGAAUGAGUACAAUUUAAAUCCCUUAACGAGGAACAAUUGGAGGGCAAGUCUGGUGCCAGCAGCCGCGGUAAUUCCAGCUCCAAUAGCGUAUAUUAAAGUUGUUGUGGUUAAAAAGCUCGUAGUUGAACCUUGGGCCUGGCUGGCCGGUCCGCCUCACCGCGUGCACUGGUCCGGCCGGGCCUUUCCCUCUGCGGAACCCCAUGCCCUUCACUGGGUGUGGCGGGGAAACAGGACUUUUACUUUGAAAAAAUUAGAGUGCUCAAGGCAGGCCUAUGCUCGAAUACAUUAGCAUGGAAUAAUAGAAUAGGACGUGUGGUUCUAUUUUGUUGGUUUCUAGGACCGCCGUAAUGAUUAAUAGGGACAGUCGGGGGCAUCAGUAUUCAAUUGUCAGAGGUGAAAUUCUUGGAUUUAUUGAAGACUAACUACUGCGAAAGCAUUUGCCAAGGAUGUUUUUCAUUAAUCAGGAACGAAAGUUAGGGGAUCGAAGACGAUCAGAUACCGUCGUAGUCUUAACCAUAAACUAUGCCGACUAGGGAUCGGACGAUGUUACAUUUUUUGACGCGUUCGGCACCUUACGAGWAAUCAAAGUGCUUGGGCCUCCAGGGGGAGUAUGGKCGCAAGSCUGAAACYUAAAGAAAUUGACGGAAGGSCWCCAUCCARKGGUGGAGCCUGCGGCUUAAUUUGACUCAACACGGGGAAACUCACCAGGUCCAGACACAAUGAGGAUUGACAGAUUGAGAGCUCUUUCUUGAUUUUGUGGGUGGUGGUGCAUGGCCGUUCUUAGUUGGUGGAGUGAUUUGUCUGCUUAAUUGCGAUAACGAACGAGACCUUAACCUGCUAAAUAGCCCGUAUUGCUUUGGCAGUACGCCGGCUUCUUAGAGGGACUAUCGGCUCCAAGCCCCAG